rnacentral:rRNA from 1 species
UACGAAGGGGGCUAGCGUUGCUCGGAAUCACUGGGCGUAAAGGGUGCGUAGGCGGGUCUUUAAGUCAGGGGUGAAAUCCUGGAGCUCAACUCCAGAACUGCCUUUGAUACUGAAGAUCUUGAGUUCGGGAGAGGUGAGUGGAACUGCGAGUGUAGAGGUGAAAUUCGUAGAUAUUCGCAAGAACACCAGUGGCGAAGGCGGACUCACUGGCCCGAGUACUGACGCUGAGGCACGAA